GAUGAACGCUGGCGGCGUGCCUAAUACAUGCAAGUCGAGCGAACGGACGAGAAGCUUGCUUUUCUGAUGUUUGCGGCGGACGGGUGAGUAACACGUGGAUAACCUACCUAUAAGACUGGGAUAACUUCGGGAAACCGGAGCUACUACCGGAUAAUAUUUUGAACCGCAUGGUUCAAAAGUGAAAGACGGUCUUGCUGUCACUUAUAGAUGGAUCCGCGCUGCAUUAGCUAGUUGGUAAGGUAACGGCUUACCAAGGCAACGAUGCAUAGCCGACCUGAGAGGGUGAUCAGCCACACUGGAACUGAGACACGGUCCAGACUCCUACGGGAGGCAGCAGUAGGGAAUCUUCCGCAAUGGGCGAAAGCCUGACGGAGCAACGCCGCGUGAGUGAUGAAGGUCUUCGGAUCGUAAAACUCUGUUAUUAGGGAAGAACAUAUGUGUAAGUAACUGUGCACAUCUUGACGGUACCUAAUCAGAAAGCCACGGCUAACUUCGUG
rnacentral:rRNA from 1 species